rnacentral:rRNA from 1 species
CAGUCGCCGCGGGAAUACGUAGGUGGCAAGCGUUGUCCGGAGUUAUUGGGCGUAAAGGGCUCACAGGCGGUUUCUUAAGUCUGAUGUGAAAGCCCCCGGCUCAACCGGGGAGGGCCAUUGGGAACUGGGAAACUUGAGUGCAGAAGAGGAGAGUGGAAUUCCACGUGUAGCGGUGAAAUGCGUAGAGAUGUGGAGGAACACCAGUGGCGAAGGCGACUCUCUGGUCUGUAACUGACGCUGAGGAGCGAAAGCGUGGGGAGCGAACAGGAUUAGAUACCCGUGUAGUCCCUGUCUCUUAUAC